UACGGGAGGCAGCAGUGGGGAAUAUUGCACAAUGGGCGCAAGCCUGAUGCAGCCAUGCCGCGUGUAUGAAAAAGGCCUUCGGGUUGUAAAGUACUUUCAGUCGUGAGGAAGGUGUUAAGGUUAAUAACCUUAGCAAUUGACGUUAGCGACAGAAGAAGCACCGGCUAACUCCGUGCCAGCAGCCGCGGUAAUACGGAGGGUGCGAGCGUUAAUCGGAAUUACUGGGCGUAAAGGGCACGCAGGCGGUUAAUUAAGUUGGAUGUGAAAUCCCCGGGCUUAACCUGGGAAUGGCAUUCAAGACUGGUUAGCUAGAGUCUUGUAGAGGGGGUUAGAAUUCCAUGUGUAGCGGUGAAAUGCGUAGAGAUGUGGAGGAAUACCGGUGGCGAAGGCGGCCCCUGGACAAAGACCUGACGCUCGAUGUGCGAAAGCGUGGGGAGCAAAC
rnacentral:rRNA from 1 species